GGGUUGUGAGGUUAAGCGACUAAGCGUACACGGUGGAUGCCCUGGCAGUCAGAGGCGAUGAAGGGCGUGCUAAUCUGCGAUAAGCGCCGGUAAGGUGAUAUGAACCGUUAUAACCGGCGAUACCCGAAUGGGGAAACCCAGUGUGAUUCGUCACACUAUCAUUAACUGAAUCCAUAGGUUAAUGAGGCGAACCGGGGGAACUGAAACAUCUAAGUACCCCGAGGAAAAGAAAUCAACCGAGAUUCCCCCAGUAGCGGCGAGCGAACGGGGAGGAGCCCAGAGCCUGAAUCAGCAUGUGUGUUAGUGGAAGCGUCUGGAAAGGCGCGCGAUACAGGGUGACAGCCCCGUACACAAAAGCGCAUGUGCUGUGAGCUCGAUGAGUAGGGCGGGACACGUGGUAUCCUGUCUGAAUAUGGGGGGACCAUCCUCCAAGGCUAAAUACUCCUGACUGACCGAUAGUGAACCAGUACCGUGAGGGAAAGGCGAAAAGAACCCCGGCGAGGGGAGUGAAAAAGAACCUGAAACCGUGUACGUACAAGCAGU
rnacentral:rRNA from 1 species